UACCAGCUCUCCGAGUGGUAGGGAUGAUUAUUGGGCUUAAAGCGUCCGUAGCCGGCUUAGCAAGUUUCCUGUUAAACCCAGCGACUCAAUCGUUGGAUCGCGGGAAAUACUACUAGGCUAGGAGGCGGGAGAGGUCAACGGUACUUCUGGGGUAGGGGUGAAAUCCUAUAAUCCCGGGAGGACCACCAGUGGCGAAGGCUGUUGACUAGAACGCGCUCGACGGUGAGGGACGAAAGCUGGGGUAGCAAACCGGAUUAGAUACCCGGGUAGUCCCAGCUGUAAACGAUGCGAACUAGGUGUUGGGAUGGCUACGGGCCAUUUCAGUGCCGCAGGGAAGCCAUUAAGCUCGCCGCCUGGGGAGUACGGCCGCAAGGCUGAAACUUAAAGGAAUUGGCGGGGAGCACCACAAGGCGUGAAGCUUGCGGUUC
rnacentral:rRNA from 1 species